rnacentral:lncRNA from 1 species
CCCGAUCCGAAAAAUCCGAACCACAAUUCGAAUAAAAGUAGCAAAAUACCCAAACGGAUAUAUCUGAACGGGUAUUAAAUUAAGAAAGAUUGGAUAUACCUGAACUGAAAUCCAAACCGAACCCGAAGAUGUAAUAUCCGAAUCCCAAUAGAUAUCCAAAAACAUAUGAAUACUUGACCCUAUAUUUCUAGUUUACUUCUCUAAUUUUAUUCAAAAUAUUUAUAUUGAUUCUGCACAUUGCUUAAAAUCAGAUAAUAUACAUAUAAGUAUGGACAAAAUCAUUUGCUACUCACUUUAUAUCAAGUUAUUGUUUCCUACAUUAACAAAAGUUGCAUCCAAAAUUUUAAAAUAACCACUAAAUUAGUGUUUUUCUAUUUUUAAAAUUUUAUUUUAAACCUAUUAAUAGUUUAAUCUAUUAAAAAUUAGAAAAUCAGUUAAGUUAAAAAUACAUAUUUUAAAUAUAAAAAUUUUAAUUAAUAAAAUUUAUUUUUUUUCCUUCAAAAUAUAAAUAUUUGAAUCCGACCCGAAAUAAUCGAAUUCGAACUUAAAAUACCUGAACCCGACCCGAAAUGUAAAAAUACUCGAAUGGAUUCUAUACCUCUAUACCAAAAUAGCAAAAAUUCACAAUGCUCAAUCCGAAUCCGAACGGGUAUAUGAGCACGCACUC